UACGUAGGGUGCAAGCGUUAAUCGGAAUUACUGGGCGUAAAGCGUGCGCAGGCGGUUUUGUAAGUCUGUUGUGAAAUCCCCGGGCUCAACCUGGGAAUGGCAAUGGAGACUGCAAGGCUAGAGUUUGGCAGAGGGGGGUAGAAUUCCACGUGUAGCAGUGAAAUGCGUAGAUAUGUGGAGGAACACCGAUGGCGAAGGCAGCCCCCUGGGUCAAAACUAACGCUCAUGCACGAAAGCGUGGGGAGCAAACAGG
rnacentral:rRNA from 1 species